GAUGCUGCAGUUGAUUCAGAGUAGGCUGCAAGAAGAGCAUUCCCUUCAAGACGUGAUCUUCAAAAGUGCGUUUAAAAGUUCAUCAACUGCACUGCCACCAAGGGAAGAUGAUUCAUCACUGACUCCAGAUGCGUGCAGAAUCCAUGGUCAUCUCUAUGUCAAUAAAGUAGCAGGGAAUUUUCACAUAACUGUGGGCAAGGCAAUCCCACAUCCUCGAGGGCAUGCACAUUUGGCAGCACUUGUCAACCAUGAUUCUUACAACUUUUCUCACAGAAUAGAUCAUUUGUCUUUUGGCGAGCUUGUUCCAGGAAUUAUUAAUCCUUUGGAUGGAACUGAAAAGAUUGCUGUAGAUCACAACCAGAUGUUCCAAUAUUUCAUUACAGUUGUGCCAACAAAGCUACACACAUACAAGAUUUCCGCAGAUACCCAUCAGUUCUCUGUGACAGAAAGGGAACGCAUCAUCAACCAUGCUGCAGGCAGCCACGGCGUCUCUGGAAUAUUUAUGAAAUACGAUCUCAGUUCUCUCAUGGUGACAGUCACUGAGGAACACAUGCCUUUCUGGCAGUUUUUUGUAAGACUCUGUGGUAUUAUUGGAGGAAUCUUUUCAACAACAGACUUGGAUCCUACAAGCCCGUCCAUUCUGUCCCCUUUGCGGAUGGCCACACAGACAACCACUUACCUCUUCUAGAGAACAACACACAUUAGCACCUCGUGGGUGGAGAAAAACUUUUUGCCUGAGACAUAAAGCCUUUUCUAAUAAUAAAA
rnacentral:lncRNA from 1 species